UGCUUGAUCUCAGCGGUCUUCAGGCGGAAGGCACGCUCCUCGUCCUCGCUGGCCAGCUUCAGGGGGUCAAAGAAGCCGCCCGGGUAGCAGCGCUUCUCGGGGUUGGUCUCCGUGUUGCGGUAGAUCUCAGCACCACCGACCAGGAUCACCUCAAUCCAGAUCAGCUGGGUAAUGCUGAACGGCAGAGACAGGCCGGCGUACGAGGCACCGUCCAGCUCGACCUUGCCAGCGUCAACCCUGUGACGCAGGUGAAAUGAGGGGGAUAUCAUACGGAAUUCAGACCAAAAAACGGACGGAACAAGGUGUCUGGUUCCGUAGAAAGAAAACCCAUCUAUUUAAAGUAUACGAAGCAGACGGACGUCACACAUAAACAUACAACUCACCAGGACACGCCAGUGGUGGCCUCAGCAACUAGGCACCCCAGGCACGCCAGCAUAGCCCAGCGGCCGUGGAUGAGCUCGCACUCGCGGAAGCGGGCCAGGCCGAAAACCUCCGAGUAGGGAGCCAGGCGGUUCUCAGCGCUAACCUCAUCAGGGGUAGCGGUGACGACGGCCUCAACAGAGCCCUUGUUGUUCUUAGCGGCAUUCUGGUCGUUCUCGUCAACGCCAAUCACCACGAACUCAGACGGCUUGGCCAG
rnacentral:lncRNA from 1 species